rnacentral:rRNA from 1 species
GACGAACGCUGGCGGCGUGCUUAACACAUGCAAGUCGAACGGAAAGGCCCUGCUUUUGUGGGGUGCUCGAGUGGCGAACGGGUGAGUAACACGUGAGUAACCUGCCCUUGACUUUGGGAUAACUUCAGGAAACUGGGGCUAAUACCGGAUAGGAGCUCCUGCUGCAUGGUGGGGAUUGGAAAGUUUCGGCGGGUGGGGAUGGACUCGCGGCUUAUCAGCUUGUUGGUGGGGUAGUGGCUUACCAAGGCUUUGACGGGUCGCCGGCCUGAGAGGGUGACCGGCCACCUUGGGACUGAGAUACGGCCCAGACGCCUACGGGAGGCAGCAGUGGGGAGUAUUGCACAAUGGGCGGAAGCCUGAUGCAGCAACGCCGCGUGCGGGAUGAAGGCCUUCGGGCUGUAAACCGCUUUCGCCUGUGACGAAGCGUGAGUGACGGUAAUGGGUAAAGAAGCACCGGCUAACUACGUG